rnacentral:rRNA from 1 species
AUGCCUCGCGGUCGCAAACUGCCACUGCCGUCACGUUUUGCCUCGUCAGCAGCAGCUGUGCCAAGCUGGCCUCGCCUUGCUCCGCCUCAAAGUCGCCCCGAGCCACCCGUUUUUCCUUGGCUGUCGACCCGCCGACGGCACCGUUUCACCUUUGAGCUGCCGCUACGUGGCAGCAGCCGCGCCUCAAGCCGGUUCCGCCUCGACUUGCCGGGGUACGCGCGUCUGCUGGCACUAUGUCGUCAUCACGCCUCCACCUCACGGGACUCCAUGUCUCCGAGCAGGGCCGGCUUGUGCCCACUGCGCCUUGCGUCGUCGACGAGCCGACUCUGCCGCUAUCGGCGAGCCGCUGCUCCCGCCUCCUCCACAGCUGUGACCCACCGCGGGAGAGCCGCCCGCGCAACUCCACCCCCGAGUCGCUGA